rnacentral:rRNA from 1 species
UACAGAGGUCUCAAGCGUUGUUCGGAUUCAUUGGGCGUAAAGGGUGCGUAGGUGGCGCCAUAAGUCAGGUGUGAAAUCUCGGGGCUCAACCCCGAAACUGCACUUGAUACUGUGGUGCUCGAGUACUGGAGAGGAGAUUGGAAUUUACGGUGUAGCAGUGAAAUGCGUAGAUAUCGUAAGGAAGACCAGUGGCGAAGGCGGGUCUCUGGACAGUUCCUGACACUGAGGCACGAAGGCCAGGGGAGCAAACGGG